rfam:Chaetomium globosum CBS 148.51 scaffold_1 genomic scaffold, whole genome shotgun sequence.
GGUCCGCUGGCUCAAUGGCAGAGCGUCUGACUACGAUGUACGACUCCCUUAUCCUCCUGGGUAUCCAAGGGAUCGCAUCCAAGUAAUCAGGAGGUUCCAGGUUCGACCCCUGGGUGGAUCG